rnacentral:misc_RNA from 1 species
GCUAAAAGUAACUCUUCAAUGACAUAGUGCAUAACUCCUCCCAACUCCAAGGUAAUAGCACCAAUAACAAACAAAUUUGAAAAUCAUCACAUUCCGAAUGCAAUGUCAGCAUUCAUCCAACAGCAAACUCGGAUUUUCAGGUAGAUUUGGAGUAUAUCAUUACAGAGAAGUUCAGGUAAAAAUUAUUUUUUUAAAUUGGCUGUGGGGGAGCGGGGGGUAAAACUACAUAGAAAUUGAUUGCAUAACUAGAAAAACAUGUUUGAAGUGAGAACUAGUAGAAUGCCCCAAGACACCUACUCUGUUGCCUGCACAGGUUGAGAAGCUUCAGUUUGUUUCAGUGUUUCCAAAGCAGAGAUCCUUGUAUCCAGGGACUCAUGAAGGCCUUUCACCUGUUGAGAAAUGGAUUCAUGGGCAACCUUGUAAUCCUUAUAAAGAACGUAGAAUCCCAGAAGCGACGCCGUCGCUGCUCCGGCGAAGAAUGACGCCAAUCUCACCCUCAAUACGUAACCCAUCUCUCUCGACACUACCUCUGUC